rnacentral:rRNA from 1 species
GUAGGGUGCGAGCGUUAAUCGGAAUUACUGGGCGUAAAGCGUGCGCAGGCGGUUCGCUAAGUCUGAUGUGAAAGCCCCGGGCUCAACCUGGGAACUGCAUUGGAAAACUGGCGAGCUUGAGUGUGGCAGAGGGGGGUGGAAUUCCACGUGUAGCAGUGAAAUGCGUAGAGAUGUGGACGAACACCGAUGGCGAAGGCAGCCCCCUGGGCUAACACUGACGCUCAGGCACGAAAGCGAGGGGUGCAAACAGGAUUAGAUACCCUGGUAGUCCACGCCCUAAACUAUGUCAACUGGGUGUUGGGGAAGCGAUUCCUCACGUACCGUAGCUAACGCGUGAAGUUGACCGCCUGGGGAGUACGGCCGCAAGGUUA